rnacentral:rRNA from 1 species
GACGAACGCUGGCGGCGUGCCUAAUACAUGCAAGUAGAACGCUGAAGGAGGAGCUUGCUUCUCUGGAUGAGUUGCGAACGGGUGAGUAACGCGUAGGUAACCUGCCUGGUAGCGGGGGAUAACUAUUGGAAACGAUAGCUAAUACCGCAUAAGAGUAGAUGUUGCAUGACAUUUGCUUAAAAGGUGCAAUUGCAUCACUACCAGAUGGACCUGCGUUGUAUUAGCUAGUUGGUGGGGUAACGGCUUACCAAGGCGACGAUACAUAGCCGACCUGAGAGGGUGGUCGGCCACACUGGGACUGGGACAAGGCCCAGAAUCCUACGGGAGGCAGCAGUAGGGAAUCUUCGGAAAUGGACGGAAGUCUGACCGAGCAACGCCGCGUGAGGGAAGAAGGUUUUCGGAUCGUAAAGCUCUGUUGUAAGAGAAGAACGAGUGUGAGAGUGGAAAGUUCACACUGUGACGGUAUCUUACCAGAAAGGGACGGCUAACUACGUG